CAUACUCGAGGAAAAAGACCCGCCAAGGGGAAUUAUUACCACCUCCCACCCCCCGGCCUAAACUCAAUAGCUAGAAUAAGGCCAUGGAUUCAUUUAUCAGUACUAGAAACUUCGCACAUCUUUACCAGUCUACCAACUACAAAUUCACAGGUUUCGAGAGGAGGGACAGGAGGAGCCGAAGGAGAAGGUACCCGAGAAAACGACACGUUAUCUGGCUCAAGGGGCCUCGGCACUGGGCGAAGACUGGCGCACGGGAGGCGUCGCGGAACAGGCCGGCCUUUCAACUUGGACUUUCAUCACCAGCUUUCCGGGUUCUCUAGCCUGCAGAUAGCUGAUCAAGGGACUUCGUGGCCUCCAUAACAGUGUCCCAAUAUAGGCUUCAGGCUGAGUCUGGUUCAAGUUAACUCCCCAUGUCUCUUACGCCGAGAUCAGCAACUUCUCACAGCGGAUGGCUGAGGUCCAAGAAGCCAAACCAAGUCAAGCCAGACCUUGGAGGAAGUGAAGGAGCAGUAACCCAAUCUCCUACAGGGCCCAUCAAGGCUGUUUGGAGGCACAAGUGAGUUACCAUGGAAACAUCUUGAAUGAGAAGCUUAAAAUCUCAAAGGUAGCUUGCCUGAGGAAACUUACAUGUGUGCACGGUGAAACAUACAGGAUCUUCUCUGACACUCGUUUGUUGUGUGAAAGCCUAGAAAGAAUCUAAAUAUCCAUCAAUGGAGGAAGUGUUAAAUAAACUCUG